UGUCGGAUUCAAACGAAGAGUUUCUCCUACAUCCUGCAACUCUUAGAUGAAAUGACCGUUCUGCCCAAAGUGUGGAUGAAUGGACCGGGGAGCAAAAAUUGCAAUACGGUGAUAUCCCAGAAGACA